AAUGCCGCGUGUGUGAAGAAGGCCUGCGGGUUGUAAAGCACUUUCGGCCGGGAAGAAAAGCGGCGGGUUAAUAGCCCGAUCGUCUUGACGUUACCGGCAGAAGAAGCACCGGCUAACUCCGUGCCAGCCCCGGCGGUGACUGAGCGGGCUGGCAAGGCGCAUA
rnacentral:rRNA from 1 species